rnacentral:rRNA from 1 species
UACGUAGGGUGCGAGCGUUAAUCGGAAUUACUGGGCGUAAAGCGUGCGCAGGCGGUUCGUUGUGUCGGUGGUGAAAGCCCCGGGCUCAACCUGGGAAUGGCAAUGGAUACUGGACAGCGAGAGUGCGGUAGAGGGUAGUGGAAUUCCCGGUGUAGCAGUGAAAUGCGUAGAGAUCGGGAGGAACACCAGUGGCGAAGGCGGCUACCUGGACCAGCACUGACACUGAAGCACGAAAGCGUGGGGAGCAAACAGG